AGUGAACGCUGGCGGUAGGCCUAACACAUGCAAGUCGAACGGCAGCACAGGAGAGCUUGCUCUCUGGGUGGCGAGUGGCGGACGGGUGAGGAAUACAUCGGAAUCUACUUUUUCGUGGGGGAUAACGUAGGGAAACUUACGCUAAUACCGCAUACGACCUACGGGUGAAAGCAGGGGACCUUCGGGCCUUGCGCGAUUGAAUGAGCCGAUGUCGGAUUAGCUAGUUGGCGGGGUAAAGGCCCACCAAGGCAACGAUCCGUAGCUGGUCUGAGAGGAUGAUCAGCCACACUGGAACUGAGACACGGUCCAGACUCCUACGGGAGGCAGCAGUGGGGGAUAUUGGACAAUGGGCGCAAGCCUGAUCCAGCCAUACCGCGUGGGUGAAGAAGGCCUUCGGGUUGUAAAGCCCUUUUGUUGGGAAAGAAAUCCAGCUGGCUAAUACCCGGUUGGGAUGACGGUACCCAAAGAAUAAGCACCGGCUAACUUCGUGCCAGCCGCCGCAGUAA
rnacentral:rRNA from 1 species